rnacentral:tRNA from 1 species
GGAGAGGUGACAGAGUGGCCGAAUGUGCUGGUCUCGAAAACCAGUGUGGGUGCAAGCUCACCGAGGGUUCGAUCCCUCCCUCUCCG